rnacentral:siRNA from 1 species
UGCCCUAAACGUUGAUGCCACAAA